rnacentral:ncRNA from 1 species
AUAUAUGCUUUGAAGGGGAGGAGUAGAACGCUCCUACUUGUUAGAGAGGGAACGGUUGGUGAAAGUUCCUCAAGUAGACGUUUGAAUGUAGCCCUGGAGCAGUUUUUGUGAACAUUGGAGUAGCAAAAACCGGUGAAGAGCCGUUAUACAAUGAAGUGUCAGUUUUUUUAUGCUGAAAUUAAGGUGGUACCGCGAAUAUUCCUUCGCCCUUUUA